rnacentral:rRNA from 1 species
GACGAACGCUGGCGGCGUGCUUAACACAUGCAAGUCGAACGGAAAGGCCCUGCUUUUGUGGGUUGCUCGAGUGGCGAACGGGUGAGUAACACGUGAGUAACCUGCCCUUGACUUUAGGAUAACUUCAGGAAACUGGGGCUAAUACCGGAUAGGAGCUCCUGCUGCAUGGUGGGGGUUGGAAAGUUUCGGCGGUUGGGGAUGGACUCGCGGCUUAUCAGCUUGUUGGUGGGGUAGUGGCUUACCAAGGCUUUGACGGGUAGCCGGCCUGAGAGGGUGAUCGGCCACAUUGGGACUGAGAUACGGCCCAGACUCCUACGGGAGGCAGCAGUGGGGAAUAUUGCACAAUGGGCGGAAGCCUGAUGCAGCAACGCCGCGUGCGGGAUGACGGCCUUCGGGUUGUAAACCGCUUUCGCCUGUGACGAAGCGUGAGUGACGGUAAUGGGUAAAGAAGCACCGGCUAACUACGUG